rnacentral:rRNA from 1 species
GACGAACGCUGGCGGCGUGCUUAACACAUGCAAGUCGAACGGAAAGGCGCUGCUGUUGUGGGGUGCUCGAGUGGCGAACGGGUGAGUAACACGUGAGUAACCUGCCGUUGACUUUGAGAUAACUUCAGGAAACUGGGGCUAAUAACGGAUAGAAGCUCCUGCUGCAUGGUGGGGGUUGGAAAGUUUCGGCGGUUGGGGAUGGACUCGCGGCUGAUCAGCUUGUUGGUGGGGUAGUGGCUUACCAAGGCUUUGACGGGUAGCCGGCCUGAGAGGGUGACCGGCCACAUUGGGACUGCGAUACGGCCCAGACUCCUACGGGAGGCAGCAGUGGGGAAUAUUGCACAAUGGGCGGAAGCCUGAUGCAGCAACGCCGCGUGCGGGAUCACGGCCUUCGGGUUGUAAACCGCUUUCGCCUGUGACGAAGCGUGAGUGACGGUAAUGGGUAAAGAAGCACCGGCUAACUACGUG